rnacentral:rRNA from 1 species
AUUGAACGCUGGCGGCAUGCUUUACACAUGCAAGUCGAACGGUAACAGGCCUUCGGGCGCUGACGAGUGGCGAACGGGUGAGUAAUGCAUCGGAACGUGCCCAGUCGUGGGGGAUAACUAUCCGAAAGGAUAGCUAAUACCGCAUACGAUCUGCGGAUGAAAGCGGGGGACCUUCGGGCCUCGCGCGAUUGGAGCGGCCGAUGUCAGAUUAGGUAGUUGGUGGGGUAAAGGCUCACCAAGCCAACGAUCUGUAGCUGGUCUGAGAGGACGACCAGCCACACUGGGACUGAGACACGGCCCAGACUCCUACGGGAGGCAGCAGUGGGGAAUUUUGGACAAUGGGCGCAAGCCUGAUCCAGCAAUGCCGCGUGCAGGAAGAAGGCCUUCGGGUUGUAAACUGCUUUUGUACGGAACGAAACGGCUCUGGUUAAUACCCGGGGCUAAUGACGGUACCGUAAGAAUAAGCACCGGCUAACUACGUGCCAGCCGCCGCCGUAAAAC